AAUCAACGCUGGCGGCGUGCCUCAGACAUGCAAGUCGAACGCGAAAGUUUCCUUCGGGAAGCGAGUAGAGUGGCGCACGGGUGAGUAACACGUAAGUAAUCUACCUCGGGGUGGGGAAUAACAUCGGGAAACCGAUGCUAAUACCGCAUAAUGCAGCGGCUUCUUAUGAAGACUAGUUGUUAAAGCUAUUUAUGUGCCUGGAGAGGAGCUUGCGGCAGAUUAGCAGUUGGUAAGGUAAUGGCUUACCAAGGCAACGAUCUGUAGCCGACCUGAGGAGGGUGGUCGGUCACACUGACACUGAAUAACGGGUCAGACUCC
rnacentral:rRNA from 1 species